UCCUCUGUAGUUCAGUCGGUAGAACGGCGGACUGUUAAUCCGUAUGUCACUGGUUCGAGCCCAGUCAGGGGAGCCA
rnacentral:tRNA from 1 species